rnacentral:misc_RNA from 1 species
GAUGAGACGCAGCGAAAUGCGAUAAGUAAUGUGAAUUGCAGAAUUCAGUGAAUCAUCGAAUCUUUGAACGCACAUUGCGCCCGCCAGUAUUCUGGCGGGCAUGCCUGUUCGAGCGUCAUUACAACCCUCAGGCCCCCGGGCCUGGCGUUGGGGAUCGGCGGAGCCCCCCGUGGGCACACGCCGUCCCCCAAAUACAGUGGCGGUCCCGCCGCAGCUUCCAUCGCGUAGUAGCUAACACCUCGCGACUGGAGAGCGGCGCGGCCACGCCGUAAAACACCCAACUCUUCUGAAGUUGACCUCGAAUCAGGUAGGAAUACCCGCUGAACUUAAGCAUAUCAAUAAGCGGAGGA